GAGGGUGAAAAUAGCCACCAGUUAUAGAGAGAGUACCACAUCUAUGGCUGCGGAUAGCUUCAUCCUGCAAGGUCCGUGGUCAAUGGCGAAGCGACCCUGUCCCUCACAAAACCCUAGAACGCACACCCUCAACCAGGUCGAGAAUCUUCUCGAUGCAUUCCUUGGUCUCUCCGAGUCCCCUUCUCUCUCCCUCGAUCUCUCCCUUUCCCUCGAGAUGCUUCUCGAAUCCUUGCCCUCCGAUUCCGAUCAGACGGACGUCAUCGAUCGCGCCAUUAAAAUUGGAUCCGUGCUUCUGGAUGCAGCCAAGUAUUCCUCCAGAAAGCGAGCUUCCAGACACAAUUCCCUCGCUUGGCCUCUCCCUCCUGACCUUACCAUCAAGGUCUUCUCGAUGCUUGAUACACAGAGCCUAUGUUAUGCAUCAGCGACUUGUUCAUUGUUUAACAAAUGUGCUAAAGAUCCUUUGUGCUAUGCAAAUCUUGAUUUGACAACACUUCUUCCGAAGAUUAACAAUUCAGUAGUUUCCACAAUGGUUCAACGAGCUGGAAAGGAACUAAGGUCUCUUAAGCUUGGUGUGAUCCCCGGUGCUACCACUUCUGCUGGAUCUUGUCAACCAUUGGUUUAUAACAUCAGAAAUGCCAUUGUAGAGGUUUCUAACUUCUCUUGGAAUGAUAAGAGGUCUCGACAAGGGAGAGAAUCUUCCAUUCUUACAAGAUCCUGUUUAAGCCCUUUAAGUAGGGAUGGUGGUGCUCCAGGGGCUCUUUUGAGAAAGUUGAACUUGUACAAUAUUGAAAGGAUGGAUAGUGCUUCACUUAGUGGGGCAUUAUCAGCUUGCCCUUCUCUGCUUGAUUUGGAAAUUGUUGGGCUUCAUGUUGAAUUGCGGCAAACAUUAAUGUCAGUAAGUGCGAACUGCCACAUGAUCGAGCGUUUGUUUUUUGAGUCUUCUAAAACAGGUAGAGAUGACAGUUUGAAAACACAAACCUGUGUUGAGCUGGUGGACAAUUGUCCUCACCUAACUUCUUUAUCUCUUAGAGGGUUUAAGCUACAUGAUUAUAAAGUUCGUGUGCUGGUUAAGGGAUUUCGGAGAUUGAAAUAUGUUGAUUUUUCUACAUCCUAUUCAAUCACUGGAAGCUUCUUAAGAAACCUUGGAAGCUGCAAUGGUGGGAAUUUGCUUGAGGUCUUAAUUUUAAGGGAUUGCAUGCAUCUGAAAGAGAUGGAAGUUGCUAGGUUGUUAACAGCAAUUCUUGCGGGUGAUUUCAAAUUGCUUGUACAUCUUGAUAUAUCCAAUAGGGAAGGCUUAGCAUCGGAGGGUGACUGGUAUCACCGGUGCUACAACUCUAGUGUUAUGCCUGUUAAGCAGGUUUUGGAAGCAAGGCCUGAUAUUUGUUUGGUGGCUGAAUAUCCAUCAGAAGGAAGUUACAUUGAGUCAUUUGAUACUGAUAUGAACAGUGAGAUGAGUCUUCCAUCACAAUUGAGCUCUCAUAGUUCAGAUGGUUUGAUCUUUUUGAGUACAUCUGAAAGCAGCUACAAUAGUGAUCAUGGUAGUGGUAAUGAAGAUGGUCAAGAUGCCAGCUAUGUGGUUUAUGAGGAAAGUUCAGAUGAGAUAGACUUCUUGUCCCUGUAGGGGUUGUUCAUUGUUUGGCAUUAAUAAAAAGGACAAAAAUUUAGUGAACAUGGGGAGCGGCAGAGGAAGAAGGAUGCGACAGGGUAAUAGAGUGUGGACGGUGGAUUUUUCUUUAACUUCGGUUUUGUCCCUGUCUUCAUUGAAGUUCAUUUACCGUGGAAUUUUCAAUCUGAAGGAAGAUUGGAGGUUGGUAUCAGUUUUGCUGUCGGCCGUUGCUUCCUUAUUUGCGGAAAUGAUAAGCAUACUGCCGCCAUUGGUGCUCCACGCCGGCCUCAUUUCUCAAAUGAAAUGUGCAAUAUUCCACUAUGGAUUUAUUUUUAAGUCAAUUUUGCACAAGAUUUUCAGUGAUGUAUUUUGUGCCUUUGCGUAUACUGUAUCUAAUUCUGCAACCUCAACCAAUGUGUUCUCUAUGCACGUGGGGCGCAAAACUGUUUUGUAGUUGAAUAUUAAACUGUCCUUGGAGAGGAUCCUCCCAUCUGAUUUAAAUACAUACAAUAAUGACAUUCGGUACCCGUUGCAAAUAUUAGUAAGAUCGGAACAAGUUAGUUCAGCAAAGA